GAUGAACGCUGGCGGCGUGCCUAAUACAUGCAAGUCGAGCGAACGGACGAGAAGCUUGCUUCUCUGAUGUUAGCGGCGGACGGGUGAGUCACACGUGGAUAACCUACCUAUAAGACUGGGAUAACUUCGGGAAACCGUAGCUAAUACCGGAUAAUAUUUUGAACCGCAUGGUUCAAAAGUGAAAGACGGUCUUGCUGUCACUUAUAGAUGGAUCCGCGCUGCAUUAGCUAGUUGGUAAGGUAACGGCUUACCAAGGCAACGAUGCAUAGCCGACCUGAGAGGGUGGACGGCCACACGGGAACUGAGACACGGUCCAGACUCCUACGGGAGGCAGCAGUAGGGAAUCUUCCGCAAUGGGCGAAAGCCUGACGGAGCAACGCCGCGUGAGUGAUGAAGGUCUUCGGAUCGUAAAACUCUGUUAGUAGGGAAGAACAUAUGUGUAAGUAACUGUGCACAUAUUGACGGUACCGAAUCAGAAAGCCACGGCUAACUACGUG
rnacentral:rRNA from 1 species